GACGAACGCUGGCGGCGUGCUUAACACAUGCAAGUCGAACGGAAAGGCCUGCUUUCCCUUGUGGAUUGCGGGUACUCGAGUGGCGAACGGGUGAGUAACACGUGAGUGAUCUGCCCCCAACUUGUGUAUAAGCCUGGGAAACUGGGUCUAAUUCCCGAUAGGACUGCAGGGUGGUGCCUGUGGUGGAAUAUGAUAUUCUAGUGGUCGGGGAUGAGCUCGCGGCCUAUCAGCUUGUUGGUGGGGUAAUGGCCUACCGAGGCGGCGACGGGUAGCCGGCCUGGGAGGGUGGGCGGGCUCAUUGGAACUGAGAUACGGCCCGGGAUCCUACGGGAGGCCGCAGUGGGGAAUAUGGAGCAGUGGGCGGAAGCCUAAUGCGGCGACGCGGCGUGGGCAAUGACGGCGUUCGGGUUGUAAACUCCUUUCGACCGCGAGGGAGCCACCUGGAUGGAGGGGUAGUGACGGUAGUGGUAGAAGAAGCACCGGCUAACUACGUG
rnacentral:rRNA from 1 species